GUAAGUAUGAGAGUAGGCUUACGAUCCACUGAGAUUCAUCACGUGUUGCGCCGAUUU
rnacentral:rRNA from 1 species